AACGCUAGCUACAGGCUUAACACAUGCAAGUCGAGGGGCAGCACAGAGAUAGCUUGCUAUCUUGGGUGUCGACCGGCGCACGGGUGAGUAACGCGUAUCCAACCUGCCCACCACUUGGGGAUAACCUUGCGAAAGUAAGACUAAUACCCAAUGACGUCUCUAGAAGACAUCUGAAAGAGAUUAAAGAUUUAUCGGUGAUGGAUGGGGAUGCGUCUGAUUAGCUUGUUGGCGGGGUAACGGCCCACCAAGGCGACGAUCAGUAGGGGUUCUGAGAGGAAGGUCCCCCACAUUGAAACUGAGACACGGUCCAAACUCCUACGGGAGGCAGCAGUGAGGAAUAUUGGUCAAUGGGCGAGAGCCUGAACCAGCCAAGUAGCGUGCAGGAAGACGGCCCUAUGGGUUGUAAACUGCUUUUAUAAGGGAAUAAAGUGAGUCUCGUGAGACUUUUUGCAUGUACCUUAUGAAUAAGGACCGGCUAAUUCCGUGCCAGCAGCCGCGGUAAUACGGAAGGUCCGGGCGUUAUCCGGAUUUAUUGGGUUUAAAGGGAGCGUAGGCCGGAGAUUAAGCGUGUUGUGAAAUGUAGACGCUCAACGUCUGCACUGCAGCGCGAACUGGUUUCCUUGAGUACGCACAAAGUGGGCGGAAUUCGUGGUGUAGCGGUGAAACGCUUAGAUAUCACGAAGAACUCCGAUUG
rnacentral:rRNA from 1 species